CCUAUGGGAGGCAGCAGUGGGGGAUAUUGCACAAUGGGGGAAACCCUGAUGCAGCGACGCCGCGUGAGUGAAGAAGUAUUUCGGUAUGUAAAGCUCUAUCAGCAGGGAAGAAAAUGACGGUACCUGACUAAGAAGCCCCGGCUAACUACGUGCCAGAAGCCGCGGUAAUACGUAGGGGGCAAGCGUUAUCCGGAUUUACUGGGUGUAAAGGGAGCGUAGACGGCUGUGUAAGUCUGGAGUGAAAGCCCAUGGCUUAACCAUGGAACUGCUUUGGAAACUGUGUAGCUGGAGUGCAGGAGAGGCAGGCGGAAUUCCUGGUGUAGCGGUGAAAUGCGUAGAUAUUAGGAGGAACACCAGUGGCGAAGGCGGCCUACUGGACUGUAACUGACGUUGAGGCUCGAAAGCGUGGGGAGCAAACAGGAUUAGAUACCCGGGUAGUC
rnacentral:rRNA from 1 species